UGGAAAGGGCACAACAACUCACUCCUUGUCUCUGGCACACAUCACUACCCCUCUUUCACUACCGAAGUACCCAGUUUAGGUUUUUGAGCUACACAAGAGCCACCAGCUCUGGAAGGACCCCGGGGAACAGCAGCACCACAACUGGGGACUGGGAUUUUCUCCCUGAAGAUGUUUUUCACCACCACAGAGUACAUGGGAAAAUUCAGGGGAUGAGACCCCCACCCCAAACCAGGGCACGGCUCUGAUGGGGCACCCACCCAAGGUCCAGAAGAGCCCAAACACAYAGGAAGGGCUCAGCCAUCCCGGCACCGCCGCUGUGCCAGCGUUAAUCACCACACCACGGCUAACAGGGCUGCCAGCCCAGCCAGUGCCGGUGAGAACAAGCCCUGGGGAAGAAACAUGGCUCUGUGUCCUGGCUUUGCAGCCCAGCUCCUACGUGGGGAAACAAAACGAGAGGCACAGCUCACCCGCUCCAAGGAAUACGCCCUCCCUAAUGAGAGUCGACCCAGGAGCUAUGCGGGAGUGGCGCCCAUUCCCAGGCAGGCUUCAAUGCCACUGAAAGGCAGCGACGGAGACAGGCAGCCUCCGAGGAAAGAGACAGCAGUGGGAAAUUUUGCUUUGAUGCCGGCUCGCCAGCUCGCUGCGGCACCAGGGAGGAGGAGGAAGGACGGCCGGCUCUCGCGAUGCUCCCCGGCAUGUGCGUACACGCAGAGCUGAGCUCAGCCCGAGAUCCCGGGAGAGGCUGGCAACAACCGCAGAGAGAGUCACCAGCCGUGCCCUGCCUGGCUGGGCMACACAUGGCUGGCACAGCCGAGCCCCACAGGGCCACCGAGCACCCGCCGKCGGACGAGGAAGCCCACGGAGGAGAGCUGGCACUGCAAGGACGCUACGAAAGGACCGUGUCGUACAACCAUCCAUCGUCCCAAGAUGUCGAUGAAGAAGGGCAGGGGUUAAGUCCAGCCUGGGAUGCUGAGUCCCUGCAGAUGGGCAGUGAGAGAUGAAGAGGAGCAUUUCCCUGAUCCACCUGAACCCAGAGAGGAUCUCCUGCACUGCUGCACUCCUGUUACUCCUCUUAAYAAUUUUAUUCACCAACUGCAAGUAACUCCAGAGGCAUUGUCAGCACUGAUUCAGAGGCCUGUGAGGUUAAUCCCAGACAGGACAGAAACAUCAUCAAACCCAGCCAGCCCAUUGUGGUAUAACCCAAAAUAGCACMAUUUGUUUCUGCAAUGGGCUUCCCAACAGAAGCAACAUAUCCUGUUCCAGUCUUGGCUCUCUACAUGCCUUGGGAUUCAGUUUUGAGGGAAAGAAGUCCACAAAGAAGCUGCAUGAGUUAGUGCAAAGCCCACAAAUGCAUCCUGCAAAAGGCAGUAGAGAUACCCUAAAGGGAUCGCACAAGGAAUGUUUUGCCAUAGAAAUACAGAAUCACAAACUGUCCUGAGCUCRAAGGGACCCACAAGGAUCAUCGAGUCCAACUCCUGACCCUACACAAGGCAACUCCAAGARUCACACCAUGAGCCUGAGAGCAUUAUUCAAACACUUCCUGAACUCUGGUAGGCUUGGUGCACUCCCCACUUGCCUGGGGAGCUUCUUCCAGUGCCCCAAUGCCCUCAGGAUGAAGAACCUUUCCCUAAUAACCAACCAACCCCUUUCCCCUGCGRCCCCAAAUCAGCUUCAUGCCAUUCYCUCAAGUCCUGUCACUGCUCACUGGGGAGAAGAGAUCAGUSCCUGCCCCUCUGCUUCCCCAAACGUGCAGCAGGCUUGCCCAGCUGGCCAGGCACCACUGCUGGUGGUCCAGUAUAGAACAAUUCACCCUUAAAACAAAAUUAAUGGGUUUCAGCAAGCACAGACCACCUGACAGAAGGACAUAAAAACACCCUAAGAAAGACUUAGAGCACACAGAAAAAGCCAAGGCUGUCCAGCCAAAGGGCUGCACAGUGCCCUUUCAUAGACCAUUCCCCCAGGUGUGACAAUAGAAGAAUAUGAGGCUGCAACUGGGCUUCCAUGGGAGCACAGGACCUGUGCUGAUGGUUUCAAGUUGGCUCAGGAUCAGUACAGCUUCUCAGGGGAAAAACAGCCCUGAAGGACUCAACACAAAGCACAGUGACUCUCYUUCCCUGUUGUCAAAGCAUCACUUGAAGCCAGAGCUUGAAAAUGUGUUACCUGGGAAAGCAAAGCAACCACAUUAGGGAGCGAGAGUACAAAGCACACUGUGACAUCUACAAGUGAGCUUGAGCUCACUCAUUUGUAUUUCAAAGGCCACGUUGACACAAGAGAUUUUUCUUGUUCUGGCUUUGGCUGUGAAGGGAAUGAUACACAAUUUUGAGUGCCGCAGCCWCUGAGUCAGCUUUCCUGCAGAGUUAGAAACAACAACAUUCAGCCUGCUUCACUGGGAGAACGUAAGGACCCAUUUUGGAAAAURCCACUUUGGCUAAUAUAAACAAAAUCAAUUUCAGGAGUCUUACUCAUGUCCAUACACCCAUCAACCCAUCCUAAACUUCCUAUGGCUUGA